rnacentral:rRNA from 1 species
UGGGGAAUUUUGCACAAUGGGGGAAACCCUGAUGCAGCGACGCCGCGUGAUUUAGAAGGCCUUCGGGUUGUAAAAAUCUUUUCUAUGGGAAGAAAAUGACAGUACCAUAGGAAUAAGGACCGGCUAAUUACGUGCCAGCAGCCGCGGUAAUACGUAAGGUCCGAGCGUUGUCCGGAAUCAUUGGGCGUAAAGGGUACGUAGGCGGGUAAGCAAGUUAGAAGUGAAAUCCUAUAGCUCAACUACAGUAAGCUUUUAAAACUGCUCAUCUUGAGGUAUGGAAGGGAAAGUGGAAUUCCUAGUGUAGCGGUGAAAUGCGCAGAUAUUAGGAGGAAUACCGGUGGCGAAGGCGACUUUCUGGCCAUAACCUGACGCUGAGGUACGAAAGCGUGGGUAGCAAACAGG